rnacentral:rRNA from 1 species
AGCGAACGCUGGCGGCAGGCCUAACACAUGCAAGUCGAGCGCGUGUCGCAAGACACGAGCGGCAGACGGGAGAGUAACACGUGGGAACGUACCCUUUGGUUCGGAACAACCCAGGGAAACUUGGGCUAAUACCGGAUAAGCCCUUAACGGGGAAAGAUUUAUCGCCGAAAGAUCGGCCCGCGUCUGAUUAGCUAGUUGGUGAGGUAACGGCUCACCAAGGCGACGAUCAGUAGCUGGUCUGAGAGGAUGAUCAGCCACAUUGGGACUGAGACACGGCCCAAACUCCUACGGGAGGCAGCAGUGGGGAAUAUUGGACAAUGGGCGCAAGCCUGAUCCAGCCAUGCCGCGUGAGUGAUGAAGGCCCUAGGGUUGUAAAGCUCUUUUGUGCGGGAAGAUAAUGACGGUACCGCAAGAAUAAGCCCCCGGCUAACUUCGUGCCAGCCGCCGCGGU